rnacentral:rRNA from 1 species
CCUACGGGGGGCUGCAGUGGGGAAUAUUGCACAAUGGGGGAAACCCUGAUGCAGCGACGCCGCGUGAGUGAAGAAGUAAUUCGUUACGUAAAGCUCUAUCAGCAGGGAAGAAAAUGACGGUACCUGAGUAAGAAGCCCCGGCCAAAUACGUGCCAGCAGCCGCGGGAAUACGUAGGGGGCAAGCGUUAUCCGGAUUUACUGGGUGUAAAGGGAGCGUAGACGGGGCGCCAAGUCUGGAGUGAAAUGCCGGAGCUUAACUGCGGAACUGCAUUGGAAACUGGAGAACUAGAGUGCGGGAGGGGUGAGCGGAAUUCCUAGUGUAGCGGUGAAAUGCGUAGAUAUGAGGAGGAACACCGGAGGCGAAGGCAGCUUACUGGA